GACGAACGCUGGCGGCGUGCUUAACACAUGCAAGUCGAGCGGUAAGGCCCUUCGGGGUACACGAGCGGCGAACGGGUGAGUAACACGUGAGCAAUCUGCCCUCCACAUCGGGAUAACCCCGGGAAACCGGGGCUAAUACCGGAUAUUCACGUCAGCAGGCAUCUGCAGACGUGGAAAGUUCCGGCGGUGGAGGAUGAGCUCGCGGCCUAUCAGCUUGUUGGUGGGGUAACGGCCCACCAAGGCGACGACGGGUAGCCGGCCUGUGAGGGUGACCGGACACACUGGGACUGAGACACGGGCCAGACUCCGACGGGAGGCAGCAGUGGGGAAUAUUGGACAAUGGGCGAAAGCCUGAUCCAGCAACGCCGCGUGAGGGAUGACGGCCUUCGGGUUGUAAACCUCUUUCAGCAGGGACGAAGCGCAAGUGACGGUACCUGCAGAAGAAGCACCGGCCAACUACGUGCCAGCAGCCGCCGUAAAAC
rnacentral:rRNA from 1 species